AGGCUUAACACAUGCAAGUCGAGGGGCAGCAUGGUCUUAGCUUGCUAAGACUGAUGGCGACCGGCGCACGGGUGAGUAACACGUAUCCAACCUGCCGUCUACUCUUGGACAGCCUUCUGAAAGGAAGAUUAAUACAAGAUGGCAUCAUGAGUCCGCAUGUUCACAUGAUUAAAGGUAUUCCGGUAGACGAUGGGGAUGCGUUCCAUUAGAUAGUAGACGGGGUAACGGCCCACCUAGUCUUCGAUGGAUAGGGGUUCUGAGAGGAAGGUCCCCCACAUUGGAACUGAGACACGGUCCAAACUCCUACGGGAGGCAGCAGUGAGGAAUAUUGGUCAAUGGGCGAGAGCCUGAACCAGCCAAGUAGCGUGAAGGAUGACUGCCCUAUGGGUUGUAAACUUCUUUUAUAAAGGAAUAAAGUCGGGUAUGUAUACCCGUUUGCAUGUACUUUAUGAAUAAGGAUCGGCUAACUCCGUGCCAGCAGCCGCGGUAAUACGGAGGAUCCGAGCGUUAUCCGGAUUUAUUGGGUUUAAAGGGAGCGUAGAUGGAUGUUUAAGUCAGUUGUGAAAGUCUGCGGCUCAACCGUAAAAUUGCAGUUGAUACUGGAUAUCUUGAGUGCAGUUGAGGCAGGCGGAAUUCGUGGUGUAGCGGUGAAAUGCUUAGAUAUCACGAAGAACUCCGAUUGCGAAGGCAGCCUGCUAAGCUGCAACUGACAUUGAGGCUCGAAAGUGUGGGUAUCAAACAGGAUUAGAUACCCUGGUAGUCCACACGGUAAACGAUGAAUACUCGCUGUUUGCGAUAUACUGCAAGCGGCCAAGCGAAAGCGUUAAGUAUUCCAC
rnacentral:rRNA from 1 species